UACGUAGGUGGCAAGCGUUGUCCGGAAUUAUUGGGCGUAAAGCGCGCGCAGGCGGCCUUUUAAGUCUGAUGUGAAAGCCCACGGCUCAACCGUGGAAGGUCAUUGGAAACUGAAAGGCUUGAGUACAGAAGAGGAAAGCGGAAUUCCACGUGUAGCGGUGAAAUGCGUAGAGAUGUGGAGGAACACAGUGGCGAAGGCGGCUUUCUGGUCUGUAACUGACGCUGAGGCGCGAAAGCGUGGGGAGCAACAGGA
rnacentral:rRNA from 1 species